AGUUGCGAAGGCGGCUCUCUGGACUGUAACUGACGCUGAGGCACGAAAGCGUGGGGAGCAAACAGGAUUAGAUACCCUGGUAGUCCACGCUGUAAACGAUGAGUACUAGGUGUCGGGGGUUACCCCCUUCGGUGCCGCAGCUAACGCAUUAAGUACUCCGCCUGGGAAGUACGCUCGCAAGAGUGAAACUCAAAGGAAUGGACGGGGACCCGCACAAGUAGCGGAGCAUGUGGUUUAAUUCGAAGCAACGCGAAGAACCUUACCUAAGCUUGACAUCCCAAUGACAUCUCCUUAAUCGGAGAGUUCCCUUCGGGGACAUUGGUGACA
rnacentral:rRNA from 1 species